rnacentral:rRNA from 1 species
AUUGAACGCUGGCGGCAUGCCUUACACAUGCAAGUCGAACGGUAACGGGCCUUCGGGUGCCGACGAGUGGCGAACGGGUGAGUAAUGUAUCGGAACGUACCUUUCAGUGGGGGAUAACGUAGCGAAAGUUACGCUAAUACCGCAUAUUCUGUGAGCAGGAAAGAAGGGGAGCGCAAGACCUUGCGCUGAUUGAGCGGCCGAUAUCAGAUUAGCUAGUUGGUGAGGUAAAGGCUCACCAAGGCGACGAUCUGUAGCGGGUCUGAGAGGAUGAUCCGCCACACUGGAACUGAGACACGGUCCAGACUCCUACGGGAGGCAGCAGUGGGGAAUUUUGGACAAUGGGGGCAACCCUGAUCCAGCCAUGCCGCGUGAGUGAAGAAGGCCUUCGGGUUGUAAAGCUCUUUCGGCCGGGAAGAAAUCGUAUCAGCUAAUACCUGGUGCGGAUGACGGUACCGGCAUAAGAAGCACCGGCUAACUACGUGCCAGCCGCCGCGGUAACAC